rnacentral:misc_RNA from 1 species
AGGCGCGAUAGCUGGUGCGAUGUGCACAACUGUGAGUCAUCGAGUUUUUGAACGCAAGUGUGCCUGGGCGAUAAGGGUCCAGGCGGGGGUGUUUGUGAGGGGCGGACCUGUGUAGUGGGGAGCUGAUGUGAGGGUGGGGAGAGGUGUAUGUGGGACACUUGUGAACCACAUUAAUCACUCCAACCCUUGAAAGAAAGUGUGAAUGAGAGGGAGGGAUGGCAGCACGGCGGAACUGGUUCGAGUGGAUUUAUGGUCAUUUGAUCACAAUCUCACCCAUCAACCUGCUCCAUCCCAAACCUCUCGCCCUUCUCCCACAAACACCCCAGAUCACCCGCCAAACUUAA